UUUUAACCCUAGAUUAGAAGUGGUGGUUUCGAAAAUCACUUCUAACCCUAUCUGGCCGUCACUCACCCUUCUCAUCUCUGCAACCCUAACUCCCUCUCCCAACAAUGCCGCUGUCUCCCUCUCUCAACCCGUCACAACCCCUCCCUCCAACCCGCCGCAGCAUCUACAUCCAUCCCUCCCUCGUCGCUCAUGCCCCACGCUGCCAUCUCCCUCUCUCACGAGUGGCGCCAACCAUCAGCGCAACUCGUCAGCACCACUCGUCAGGGGCAACCCGUCAGCGCCAACCGUCAUUCUGCUAGUGCCAACGUCUCUGGUAUUUAUAGGAAACGAUCGAUGGCGUCUCCGUCGAGCUUGGCAUCGGAUGCAUCGUUGGCAUCAGCGGUAAAGAUUCGAUUCAUGGUUUAGGGUUUCUCUGAAGUCGCUGCUUGAAAGGUUCGAUUCCUUGCCCUUCGUCUUGCUUGAAACCAUCGUGAAGGAUUGCGAGAAGGAUUUCUCUGAAGUCGUUGCUGAGAGGGUUCUUGAUGAUAUGGUUAGGUUAAUUGACGAUCCUCAAACCGUUUUAAUAACCGCAACAAGGCGUUAAUCAUGAUUGAGGCUUGAGGCGAAUCCACCAUCGAGCUUCACUAUCUCCCUGUUUAUGAAGAAACUUACAAGAGUCUGAAAUCAAGGGGUAUUCGGUUCCCUGGCCGUCACAACGAGAGCUUGGCGCCUAUUUUCACUCCUCCGCGUUCGGUGUCUGAGGUUGAACUUGAUCUUCCACGCUAGACUCAGCAUGAUGAUAUUCCUGUGCAGAGUUUUACUCCUGAACAAACUAAGGAAGCUUUUGAUGUUGCUAGAAACAGCAUUGAGCUUCUUUCUAUUGUGUUGUCUUCUCCACAACAAGAUGUCUUGCAGGUAGAUUUUAUAUAUUUAGUUUGGUGUAAUAUUUGUUAGUAUAUAUAGAAAUAUGCGUGAUAGUGGAAGCAUAUGUGCACACAGCAGGGUCCAAAUUAAUUAAAGGUUCCACUAUGGAAUUAGGUGUCUCUUGUACCUGGGUGAGUGAACAAACUCAGCUUUCAUUCAUGUGCCUUGUUCAAAAUGUGAUUUUUUUUUACGCUAUGGAAGCUUUAUAAUGUGCCUACAUGAUUGCAUAGUUUCUGUUUUAUGAGGCUGUGUCUGUGUCUGUGUUCUUUUUGUCGGUGGCUUUUUCUUUCUAUUGAUUGGAACUCAUUUUUUCUCUUUUUUUUGGUGUGUCUUUCUCUGUUUGUUCUUGAUUCAUGCGUAGUAAUUGAAUUGUUCAUUAGAGACUAUUAAUACCAAAUUGUAAUUGUCUCAAUAUGUGACUCACACUACUGUUUUGUGAUUAAAUUUAAUCUUAGUAAUUCUUAUCUGAUUGAUUACUAUGGAUUAAUUUGGUUGUUGGAGAAAUAUUAGGUGUUAAUUCUAGACAUUUCACAUUAGAUUAUUUUGAGAGUGAAGUGUUUAUUGGUUGACUUUAUCUCUGUAGAGUGCAUGGCUGUAAAAGAUUGCUCUUUUUUCCUAUCAACAAGGAUGUCUGGGUGUGUUCCAUUUGAUUUUACUCAUGUCUUAUUUUUUCAAUUUUCUCAUAGAUUCAUAAAAAAAAUGUCACUUUUCUCAUAGAUUUCAUAUCUGAAGACUGUCCCUGCUAAUGCUUCAGGUUUUCAGGUAAAGAGUGUUGGUGUUCUGAUCUAGCUUGGUACCAAAUCCAACGCUUAUGAGGUGGAGCUCGACAUGGAUGAGGUGUUUGCCUAGAUUACCUUGCUUCCAGGAAGGUUUGGUGACUACUGAAUGCUGACUGCUGAAAAUGUACCUGCCAUGUUAUAAUUGUGGAGGUGCAGGCUCAUGUGGGUUACAAGGAUUUGCGCCAGAUGGAUCCUCUUCUCUUUUGGUGGUUAGGUGAGGAAAAGGAGCAAAUGGCUCAGAUCUUGUUGCAGUUCUCAUGUAUACAGGUUACUGUUGCCCAACAGCUUCUCCACCUCCAACAGCUAUACAAGAGUUGUGUGCAACCAUUCGUGUUCUACAAAUUAGUCCGGAUGUUGUUUAGGAAUUAGAUUGGAUUUUUUCUAAUUUAGAUUUGUAAUUUUUUUAAAUGUGUAUUUUGGAAGUUGAAUUUAUUUUUUCUUAAAUGUUUUAUUCAUGUUUUAUCAUGUACAUAGUUCAUAUAAAUCAA